GACGAACGCUGGCGGCGUGCUUAACACAUUCAAGUCGAACGGAAAGGCCCUGCUUUUGUGGGGUGCUCGAGUGGCGAACGGGUGAGUAACACGUGAGUAACCUGCCCUUGACUUUGGGAUAACUUCAGGAAACUGGGGCUAAUACCAGCUAGGAGCUCCUGCUGCAUGGUGGGGGUUGGAAAGUUUCGGCGGUUGGGGAUGGACUCGCGGCUUAUCAGCUUGUUGGGGGGGUAGUGGCUUACCAAGGCUUUGACGGGUAGCCGGCCGGAGAGGGUGACCGGCCACAUUGGGACUGAGAUACGGCCCAGACUCCUACGGGAGGCAGCAGUGGGGAACAUUGCACAAUGGGCGGAAGCCUGAUGCAGCAACGCCGCGUGCGGGAUGACGGCCUUCGGGUUGUAAACCGCUUUCGCCUGUGACGAAGCGUGAGUGACGGUAAUGGGUAAAGAAGCACCGGCUAACUACGUG
rnacentral:rRNA from 1 species